GCCCAGGUGGUGGAAUUGGUAUACACGACGGACUUAAAAUCCGUUGACUCGCGUCAUGGGGGUUCAACUCCCCCCCUGGGCACCA
rnacentral:tRNA from 1 species